UUUUCAGUCGCCUCAAAUGGCUCCAAGUAGUGAAUAAUGAUAUCUUUCAAAUCGGCAACAUAACUGAUUUCGGUCGCAAUCUGUAAAUUAUCAGUUUCAGAUACAUAUCUAGACAAGAAAUAAAUCAAAUACCAUUUCAUCAAACG
ensembl:ncRNA C14A11.11 ncRNA